rnacentral:lncRNA from 1 species
CUCCCUCAUUUGCUCUUCAGGACAUGAAUGGCUUCUCUAGCUCCUGGCCCGAUCAGGGCUACUACAUUCUGAAAACAUAAUUUUUCUUGUGUAUUGAAAAAAAAUACUUUUUACAUGUUAUUCUCUUCUUAGACAUGGCCUAUAUGCUACUUAAAUAUUAGCGUGUGGGAGCUACUCGGUAAAUACAAGUUCCCUUCUCUUGUCCCUCAGGUAUUUGCUUGCUAUUCAUUACUGAAAGGGAUGGAGAUAAGAUGCUGGCAUCCCUAAAUCAUCUAAUGAUAAAUUCAGCAAGCCAUACACAUUUGCUACUGAAAUCAACAACUUCAGU